CUGCCAUGUCAUAAAAAAACUUAUGCAGACCUAUGAAAAAGCCCUUAUGGUAAGGAACUGAGCCCUCCAGCCAACAGCCAUGUGAGUGAGUCAUGUUGGAAGAUCUUCUCUCCCCAGUCAAGCCUUGCGAUGACUUCAGCUCCACUCAACAUCCUGACUACAACCUCAUUAGAGAUCCUGAACCAGAUCAUUCAGCUAAGCUGCACCAGGAUUCUUGCCCCACACAAGCUUUGAAAUAAUAAGCAUUAUAAUUUUAAGCCUCUAAAUCUAGAAAUAGAUUACUAAAACACCAUCCUUCAAGCCAUCUUCUUGGCUCAUGACCUAAUCCAGAACUUGUGGACAAUAAUGCAGAUGCAGAAUUAUUAUUUUCUCUUUAGAGGUCUGCGGCUCUCAUCCUUGUGAAGAACAAAUGAAUCUUUGGGAAACCAUACAGCCAUUCCUUACUCAGGAUCUACCCCACACUUACAGUUCUAGACUCUGGAAGUCCAAGAUCAAGAUGUCGUCAAGGUUUGUUUCGGUGAGGACACUUCACUUUUCCUGACUUGGAGAAACCCACCUUCUGUCUGUGUCCUCACAUGGUCUCUUCUCUGUAUGUGGCAUGGGGAGAAAGAGCAAUCUCUUAUGUCUCUUCCUUUUCUUAUAAAGACAUCAGUCCUGAGGUGCCUGGUGGGCUCAGUUUCUAGAGCACCCAAUUCCUGAUGUUGAGGUCAUGAGUUUGAGCCCCACGCAAGAUGUACAGAUUACUUAAAAAAUAAAAUCUUACUGAAAAAAUGCAUCAGUCUUAUUGGACUUGGGGCCCAUCCUUAUGACCUUAAUUAACCUUCAUUACCUCCCUAAAGUCCCGAUCUUCAAUAUAUAGUCAAAUAUGGGAUUAGGGCUCAACAUAUGAAUUUUGAGGGAAUGAACACAAUCUAGUCCAUAACACUCAAUAUGAGUUUUAUUAAAAUGUUUUUAGACUUUGGGAAUAUCACUUCAGCUUUGACAAUGCUAUUUUCUUAAGGAAGUGGUAGUUAAGUAAGCUACAUAGAAAAAUCUGGUUCUGAGUUGUGUGGUAACCUCUUGACCCUGUAGAAUUUUAAGUUUAUUUAUUUUUGAGAUACAGAGAGGGAGGGGAAGAGAGGGAAACAGAU